GGUUCUUUCUGGAACAUUUUCCAGCUGGUACUAUUCUUUAUGGAGCAUUUCUUCGAAAAAAAUACACCGAAAUCCUAUAAAAUACUUUCAAAAUUGUAAAUUUUCUCCUAGUACUUUCUUGACACUUUCGUAUUCUUUUCAGGUAUUUUGAAUCUUUUUAGGCCAUUUUCCAUUUUGAAGGAAUUUUUCUUUGCAAUAAUUUUCGGUUGAACCUUUUUUUUCUUGGUAUGUUCUGUUUUUCUUUGGUUUAGUUUUCUGUUCCUUCCAGUUUCGUAUACUUCUGCCCAUUAGGGUGGUGGCUGCCUGGUUAUAUUUAUCUAUUUUUAAAAGUUCGCCCAUCGGGGCCGUGGAUACCAGCUUUUAAUUUUUACUCUUUAGCCCAUCGGGGCCUCGGAUACCUGCGGUGUACCCUUUUCCCCCAAACUUCUGGCCCAUCGGGGCCUCGGAUACCUGCUAUUAAAAAAUUUUUUUUUUUGGCUCAUCGGGGCCUCGGAUACCUGCUUUUUUUUUUUUUUUUUUCCUCUUGCCCAUCGGGGCCUCGGAUACCUGCUUCAAUUUUUUUUCUUGCCCAUCGGGGCCGUGGAUACCUGCUUAGAUUUUUUUUUUUAAUCGCUCAAAAACUGGUUGUUUUCUGUGGUUUGUUAUACUAUCUGGAAUGUCUACAGAUUUUUGCUGCUAAUCGUUUGGUGGUGUGUGAGUGGACCUACGCCUUUGACUGGGAGAUGACUUUGCAGUUAGGCUAGGAGGCUAGUUAGGCUGGGGAGGAAAUAUGGCGACCUGCCACUUUUGGAUUGGUAUGUGGCUUGGCUGAUGGUUAGUUGGUUGUGCCUAGUAUAAAUAAGGCAAUAGGGAGACCGGUAUAGGCAGAAGCAGUUAUAUGUAUUGCAUGAGCUAAAUAUUUUGAAUGAGUUGAAAUGGAGCUUCUUUGGAGCUAAGUGUGAAUUGUGGUAUCCUGAGAAAGAAUAGGGUCGCCCUGUGUCAUAUUACAGGGGGCUAGGUGAAAGUGAGAGGGAAAAAACUUAGAGACAGGGUUUAAAAUGGCGGCUUGACUUUGCGGUAUUGCUCAGCAUGGCUGCCUGCUUUGUUAGUGUCCAAAAUGGCGUGUGCAAUUCUGCCGCAGUGUUCAAGUGGCGGGAAUCCACAUCAUGGUGGUGUCUUUGUUCUAGUGCGCAGCAUGGUGGUGAAAAUGUUCUAUUACAUGUUGUAAAAUGGCGGCGCACAUACUUGCCGCAGUGUAAAACAUGGCGGGACUUGGUUUUUGUCGCAUGCACUUCCUGACAGGUAUUGCCGCAGGGACAGUGUGGCAGUCCUUGUCAUGCAGAUAUAAUGGCAGUCUGUCAUGUGGAUGUUCUGGCGGGCUUCUUUUUUUUGCGCGGUACCUUCUUGGCGGGCUUUGCUCCAGGUGUAACUGCAGCAUUGUUAAAGAUGGCGAACAUUUCCGCGUUUGGUGCAAAAAGAGAAAGUGGAUCGGUCAGUGUUAGAAUGUCACAUGACCCACCCGAUCAGAUAGCAUGGUACAAUUGAGUAUAGCCAAUCAAUGCAGGAUGGAAUUAGACCACUUUAGCAUGGCUCCUUGCGGACCAUCUUUAUUCAGCCAAUCAGGAAGUAGAAACCGAGGUGCCACUUUCUUAAGUCUGCUCCCAGUAGGUGGAGCCCAAGGUCUUUCCAAGGACAUUUGGCCUGUCCAGCUCCCUCCCUUCUUACCAGCUCCCUCCCUUCUUGCCCAGCUCCCUCCCCUCCAGCACUGCCACUUGCCAUGCUGGAUAUGUAGUUAGUUGCACAGCCCGAACCUCACCCCGUUCCUCUGCAUUGGUACUGUGGCCUAAGGCUAGUCUACUUUCCCCUGGCCUCUGUUCUUUACACUGUGGCCAGGGGUAGUGCUCCAUGCCUGCCAAGUGUGAACAUGGCGGUCAGUCGUGGCAAGGACCAAAAUGGAUCUCAGAUGAUCGUUGGCCAGCAGGUGGCAGAAGAGGAAUCCCUGCUUUCUUCAAGAGGAACACCUACCCCGUGGCUAAUGCUGGGAUGCUACCCAUAAGAACUGUCAGAGGUUUCCUGUUAAGUCUCCUUUCCUGAUUCCCACCUCAUCUGCUAUAUAUACAUAUCUCAACAUAUGAGUUAACCAACAGGAUUAUAGCAUUACUAUUGUGUACCUGGCCCUAUGCUAGGUUAUACUUAAGUUAUCAAGCAUCACUUGGCAAGCAAAAAAGCUUAGCCUCCCUGAUAAAAAACAAAGGGAUGAAUUCAGAGCCAAUUCUGAACUCCGGAAGGAUGAGUCAAUUUUAGGUGAAUUGAAGUCUGGACUAGAAAGCAUCCAAAGGACAUUAUGAACAUGUGAGACCUGAGGAAUCUAAGCAGUUCUAAGAAGCUCUAUAUUCAGCAGAUCUUUCUUCUGAGAAUCUGGAUAAGCUCCAUCUAAUCUAAGGAUGGCUUCUAGGCCACCUGGAGGAAAAGAUCUUCCUCUGAAGAACAGGCUUGUUGCUUUACAGUGUUAGUGACCCAUUCCCUUUGACGAUCCCUAGGUGGAGAUGGGGCAUGAGGAUCCUCCAAGGGAAAAGGUCACUACCACUGGGUAACAAUCCUAGGCCAGAAGUUUCUACCAAGAUUCUUUCUGGAGCCCAGAUAGGAAGGUGAAGUCUCAAGUUAUCCUCCACACGUUAGUGCUCCUGAUUAUUUCCUUCAUAUCUACCAAAUUAUCUUUCUCAAAAGCAAUGCAGAGAGCAAGAAAUUUGAACACACCAAAGGAAGAGCAACAUGCCUGGCACUCCAGCAUUUUAGAACAGCAGAAUGAAUGUGUAUUUCUUUGCUUGUCUAUUUCCUCCUUGAAUGUCCUUGGUCUUUGCUCUCUAAAGUGUGUGCUACCCAUUUCCACGUUUGUCUUGCUUAUUUCUUCUCUGUGUAUCUUUGUCUCAUUUUCUUUUUUGUUCAUAAGUUGUUUGUGCCUUGUCUUAGAUGUCUCUCUCAUUUUUUCAUUUUGUUACUGAUUGUCUUUGCUCUCUUAGAUCUGGCUCUUUCAACUGUUCGUACUUACCAUUGUGUCUCUGAGUCGCAUGCUGUGUGCUUUUUGCUCAUUUCCUUGUCCUGCUUACCUCUCUUUUUUUCUCUUUGUGAAUUGUGAUUGUCACCCUCUCCCCUUUUGUUGGUUUGACAUUUUACCUUUUUGUGAUUCUGGCCUCCUUUCUGCUGUUUCUACUCUUUAUCUUAGAUUUCUCUUUUCUACAUGUCCUUUAUUGCCUCUCUUGGGCCAUUUUCUUUCUUUUUUCCUGCUCUGUGUACCUCUGUGUCUCCUUUUUCUUUGUGACUUUCCAUUUCAAUGCUUUUCUUCUCUUUGUUCUCCUGUCUUUUUGCUUUUCUUCUUCUACCCAGUUUUGGGUAUUUCAGCCUCUUCAUGAGUCUGUGUCUCCCUCUUUCAUUUCCUGCAGUCCUCUUUCCUUACAUAUUUUUUGUGAACAUGUGUUUGUAUGUACACCUAUGUGUGUUUAUGUAUACCUAUGUGUGCAUGUUUGUCUAUGUUUGUGACAAAGGGGUUUCCUAACCCCUUCCCAGUAGGUGCAGAGUGUCUGCUAUCAAAAUAAGCAUUGCAGAGCUGUUCCUUAUGCCAGGCUGUCCUGUGAAAUAAUCCAAAAUGAAUAGAAAGCUCAUGGAUCCAAAAACCUUAAGGACAGAAAAUGGAAGGCCCGUAAUGGAUAAAAGUCCCAAAGUAGAAGACAAGUGAGCUUGAGACUUGAGACUUGUGAACUAAAAUGGAAAACCGGUAUCCUAAGAUAGAUGGAAACCUCAGGCUUGAGACCAUCAGAAGCUCUGAGAAUCAUGACAUACAUACUGAAGAUGGCCCUUGUCAGACAGAAGGCCUGAGUUGAAUGAACGUCUCAUGUCUUGAGUCAAACAGAAGGCUGAAGACCCAAGAUGAGUGGCUGAAGACCUAAGAGUGGGGACACAUGGGAGACCUAAGAUCUGAGACACAAGGCCCAAGACCUAAGGAAAUCCCAGUAUGAGAACCGUAAACCUCAGCUCUUUUCUAUUGCUGUCGUCCCUACUCUUGGACAUUUUCAGUUCUCCAUUUCCAGUUUUUAUAUCUCCAUUUAAACUCAUUUUGAGAUGCUCUUUUUGAUGUUGUUAUUAUCUUGAAGAGCUCUCUUUACAUUGGAAAUAUGCUGGGGUCAUUGUAAGCCAGUUUUUAUCACAGUUUUGAGUCAUUCAUUAAGUUUUAUGUAUUUUUUGUAACUUCCACCUCUCCUCACGUUCACUCCAUUUGAGAGAGACAUAUAGAUGAAAUUGUAUUUCAGUCUCACUUUUUCCUCAGAAGCUCUAGGUUAAUGAGAAGAGUAAAGCAUCAGGCUAUUGGGGAAAAAGUGCCAGGCUAUGUAGAGAAAAUGUAGAGGUGCUCCUGGGCAAUGAGAACAAUUAGACAUGAAAUACAUAGAUGUGUGAGCCUGUUGAGAAGAAUCAGCCUGCAACACCUGACUUCUUUGAACUUGGGUGAGCAGGAUUCCUGGGGUCUGGGAUUCCUAGUGAUGGUUACAGAAAAGUGGGCUUGGAACAGAAUGAGGCCCCAAGGAGGCAGCCUGAACUCCCUGCUCAUAGUAGUGGCCUAAUAAUUUGGUAGUCUGCACCAACCUUGCCUUUGGGUUUAAUACCAACCUCUAGGCUUAAAGGUGAGAGAAUUUAGGAGUAUUUAGCAGGUUUAAUCCUCCUAGAUCCCCCCCACCUUACCAUGAGAGAAGAUCAUUUAAAUAAUUGAGAAUAUAUAUGAAAGUAAAAUGUUCUCAUUAAUACUGUAUUGGCAGCCAUGCAUUGCCAAUAUUUGAAAGAGCACUGUCAGUUGUGAAGCAUUAUGUACUUCAGGGGUUAUCUCACCCUUUCUGUAAAAGGUGAGAUGGUAAAUAUUUUAGUCUUUGGAGGCCAUAUGGUCUCUACAUUUUUUUUUUUACAAUCCUUAAAAAAGGAAAAACUUCUUAGCUUGUGAACCAAGUGGAUAUGGUCUGUGGGCCAUAGUUACCCCUGAUGUAAAUGCCAAGGACUGUGCUGAAUAUUUCCUUGUGUGAGCCUGUCCUUUUGCUUGGCACUAAGGAUUCAAUGAUUAUUUAUGAUCACAUGCAAGUGACCUGAAUAAAAAUGUGUGAAUAUACUUUUAAACUAUGACAGUGCUUAAAGACUUACAAGUUUUAGAGUUGACGAAUGAAUAUUGAUUACACAGUAUAUACAUUGUACUGCAUAGGCACUGUGGAUACAAAGAUUAGAAGAAGCAUGAAUAAAGUGCUUUGUCAAAAGUAUGUAAUACUAUACAGAUAUUCAGAAUUAAGUGAUUGAUAAAUGAAAAUUCAUACAUUUGGAUCCAUGAUGUUUCUGCCGCUUUGGUGAUUUUGAGUAAAAAUACAGUAUUCCAGGUAGCAGAAAAGAAAACCAUGGAAGCUGCUUUUAAAACUAUAAUAUAUACAGCAAACAUAAGGGAUUAAGCUAUUGUGAUGACUUAUAAUGUGCCAGAUAACAUGCUCUAGGCACUAUGGAUAACAGGGGAAAAAAGCAUAUUCUCAAUAUAGAAUUAAAAGUUUCAGAUAAGGUGUGCAUUUUAAAGUGAGCUAAACUAAAGCACUAAAUACUGAUGGGCUAAAUGUUUAUGAAUUAAUAAAUGUUAACAGCCUUUUAUGGGCCACCUAUUGUUUUGGGUUCUGUGAAAUCUAAAAUAAUGCUCUCAAGUAAUAAGGGGAGCUGUAUGUUCUGCAUUAUUAGAUGUAAGGACUUAGAUACUGCUUAUUUUUAUCAGACAAGACUUUACUGGUGAUGUCAAGUUGUUACCGGUAUAUUUUCCCAUGUUACAGGGAAAUUUAGUGAAUGAGAUUGAGCCUUCUAAACUAUAAAGUGUUACAUAAAUAUAAGACAUUAAGUGUUUCUGUGUGCAUAAAACUGAGAUAAGCAUUCUCUACAAAAAUUAUCAUAGUGUGUUUGACCCACUAUGAGAAAGCUAGUAUAAAUAAUUAUACAAACUGAGGCAUCCAAUACUUGUUAAAUGAAUGAAUAUCAGUUGCCUACUAUGUCAGCUCACUGUUAAAGGCACUAAAGAGUACACACAUUAUCAUUUCAUUGUGCCUACUGUUGAGAAAAAGGCAAUACAUAUGUUAGCAUUUUGUGAACUCUAAAGUACCAUAUAAAUGUAACUGUUGAUUUUAUUAUUUGGUGCUGAGUACUAAACUUAAAAAUUGUAUCACAGCUAUCAUACUGUGAAAAAAGUUGGAAAAAGUUUGAGGAAGUAUUGUUAAAUAUUGAAGAUUAUGAAUAUAAUAUGUAAAAGAUUAUGAUGAAUGCAAGACUGGAUAAUAAUUGUCUCUUCUGUGCCAGUCAUUUUGCUAGGCAUCAGGGAUCUGAAGAUAAACCAUCUAUAUUGCAAUUUAUAAGUCUUAAACAGCCAUGCAUAUAUAAGCAAUAUAUGCUGGAUGAAUAAUGAUGAUUUACUCUCUUCAUCUCCAGAGAUAACAACUAGUAAUGCAAAAAUUCAUUACCGUUAUCAUUCAACCUGCUACAGAGAUCUGUGUGUAAAUCUAGAAAGCCAAGUGCUCUAUACAGAUAUAAGGAAUUAACUUGACUUAAUGAAUGACUGAUUACUUUCUAUGAGGCUCAAAACUAUAUAUGCCCUAGUAUAUAAAAUCAUUUUAUCCUUAUGGAAUGCUCACAGGAGGAAAUGAGGUAAUAGGUGUGAAAUCCAGAAUAAAAGGUACUUAACCACUGCUAGGCUUAUUUAAUGAUGAAAACAUGGGAAAAAUAGAAUUGUGCAAAGCAGUAUGCAACAGAGGCCAAGCAAGGUGAAAAAUACAACAUGGACUAAAAGUCUACCUGCUCUUUGGCCUGAGUGAAGAGAUGGGAAUUUUUUUGAAAAAAGCAAGGUGUUUUGGUUCUCCAUCAGUUUUUUUUAAUGCUGAAUGUUGAAGAUGGAGGUGAAUUAGAUCCAUCAUAGCCUUGCUCAGAGACAUAUAAAGAGUAAGACUAAAUGACUCAUAGAUUCAUUUGACAAACAGCAUAUUUUAUGUGGAAUAGAUAAUUCUAGGUCCUGAACAUAAAAGCAGUGAAAUGGGCCUAGUCUAAAGGUCUUUAGGUCACAGAUCAUAGUUGAAGAUAUGGAAAUACCUUUGAUUUUUGAGUAAAUAUUUGAGGGCCUGUUUUCUGGGAAGUACUAUGCUUAUUUAAUUGAGUAAAUGUAGUCCAGAAAGCCCAUUGACCUGCCUCGGAGAUUAAAAAAUAGAAAAAAAAGGCACGGUUCUUUUAAUAUAAAAUGAAGGCAUGUCCUCUAGUCCUAGAUAAUACCAAUGUCACUUGCUCUUUUACCUAAGUUGAAGCUAGAAGACUAAUAAAAAAGCUCAUGAUUUGUCCUUUAAUUCAUUAAUUUAAGACUGUUUUUAUUAUAAACAGUUUAAGAUGAGAAGAUGAAACAAGUGGUUUUAAAAGUAUUUGCUCAUUGAUAUGGCUUAAAGUGAGGAAACCACUUGAAGAAUAAAAAAAGAUUUUUUUCUAGUUUUUCCAUAUGUUGUAAACGUUUAUUUACUCUGAUUAAAGUACUGUCUUUAAGUGCUGAGGAGAAUGAAGAGAUUCAAAAGACCAAAAUGUACUUUAAUCUCAGUUGCUUAUUGUUGAAACACAAGAAUACAUUUUAUGACUGCAGGUCUUUUCACUAGUUAAUAAAAUUCAUUGAACAUCUGUGAUAGUAAGACACUGAGAAGGAAUGAUUGAAUAGAUCAUCUUCUCUUUGGCAUCUUUCAUAGAGUGGGGAUGAGAGAGCUUUUUAUGCAUUCAUACAAACAUUGGAGGUGAUGCUAAAUGUAGAUCUGGUAUAAAAGGCACUUGAUCUUGGAGAUGCAAUAAAAAAAGCAAGGAAUAGAACAAAAAUCUUUAAACAGAAUUGUCUAUUUGAAGACAAUGUGCUAACUCCUAGACAGAAAUCAAAAAAGAUCUUAACGGAAAGACAUUUGUUUUUUUAAGUGGCUUGGAGACUACAUAGAUGUUCCAUUCAUUUUUUUUUCCACUUGUUCAUUCAUUCUACAAGUAUAUUUGAGUACCUAUUGUAUAUAAGGUCCUUUGCUAGGUACUCAGUUGACCCCAGAGACAUGAAAAAAAUGAAUGCCUUCCCAGAGAAAGUUUAAAACUUUUGGGUUGUUUUCUUGUUAGGGGUAUGGCUUAGCACCUGAACAACAUUGUGUGGUUUAAUUCCUACUCCAUAAUUCUUUCACUCUGGCCACUACAAUAAGCAGGGUUUUCCAUUGAGCUUGCUCCUUUAGUUGCAGAAACCCUCCUUAUAAAUAGACACUUCAUUUUUCCUAGCUUGUCCCAUGAAAAAUGGCUAUGGCCACUGCUAGGCAGAGGGAGGGGUGACAGAUUCCCAGACUCCAGUCUCAAUUGUACUAGCCUUGGGGAACCACUCAUACUGAAGUCACUUCCUUUAUCAGUUUGUCUGUUUUCAAUUCUUUACCUUUUAUAUUCUGACAAAUAUAUACUGCCUAAAUAGAUCUCUGAAGAACAAUCCCCAGAUACUGCAUAGCAAGAUUGGAGGUGAAGACAUGAUUUCUCUUGCAACAUAUUUUCUACUUAAACCUUAGGUACCACCUUAUAAGCACCUAAAACCUGUUCAUGAAAAGACUUGUUAUGGUAGAAUAAUGUCAGUGAUUGAAAAUGGCUUAACAAUUUUAAAUUGCUUAAAUUUUAAGAAUAAUAAUUGGAAGUAAUUGGCAAACCCAAACCUCUAAAUCUAGGCCCAACUGGGCUUUGACCUUUUCUAUUUUUAAAUCACUCAUAGAGGGUGGGAUAGGAGGAAGAGUGAAAGAAAAGGUCAAACCUGUUUCUAAGGGCACCCUGCCUUUGUUUUAGACUGGUUAAGAAACAUUCUUUAUGUGGAAGUGAGGGUGCACUGUUGGAAAAUGCAAAGGCGAAAGUAACCACAAGCCUUCCUUUCACAGUCUCUGGCAUCCUAAGACUACCACUACUGAUAAAAGAAAACAUAGUACCAUCAUCUGAUUUUUUGUGACAUAAAUGAAGUAGUGAACAAAUUCAUUUUUGUAAGAAAUGGCUUCAUCUCUAUCCUACCUCAAAGGGAAUAUAUGCCAAAAUGGAAGAAACACUUGGACUUGUGAACUGAUAUGAAAUGUAGAAUCUGUGAACUUUGUUGAAAAUUUACAAAUCUUGCUUAGCAUGGUGAUCAUCAAAGCAUAGAUCAAAGUAAUCUAAAGCCAUCUAUGUAUCACAAUUAAGACAAAUUAGGGAGUAUGUUUUCUAAUGUCAAAUAAAAGUAUGGUUUUGAAAACUUGGUAUUUUGAUGUCAUAAGUU